UAAAUAGGAGCAUUAUGCGUUUUCUUAGGCUUUUAAUUAUUUGUCCUGUUUACUGUUCAAUAAAAUGCCCUAGUGAAGAAAUUCCAAUUUCUCAUAAAAAAUCCGGUUUUUUCCUUAAGCUCUUAAUUUGUAAUUUUGGACCCAAUGUUAGCAAUUAUUGGAACCCUCAUGUUAGGAAAUCAAGGGUUUGGAUUAUUUUGGUGUUACUGAAUCUUCUCUUUCACCCUCCAUAGUUGAAUAUUUUCAUUCACUGUCUUCAGGGUGCAGGAACUGCGACAGAGAAGCUCUCUGUGAAUGGGGCAAAGGGAAAAAUUAUAAUUGAAAACAAUAUUUGUAACUUACGACUCUGAAGUAGCUAUUAUACUCAUUGAAUUCUGUGAAACUCAGAUAGCCAUCGCCAUCUAUGUUUGCAUUGAUAAAUUGUUAAUUUCACCUCCCUGGUUUGCCUUGGGUCAAACAUUAGGUGCUUGGCUGCUUGCAACCCAGGAUCAAUCAAGACGAAGCUGGCUGUAAUGACCCUUUCAGGUUUUGGAGUGAAGGCGAGGAUGGAGGAAGGCUGUGGCCAGAAGAGAAUAGACUACCGCCAGCUUCAUUCUCCAGCUCCUACAAACGAACCUCCAAUAAGACAGAAAUCAGAAUGAAUUUUGGCUUCUGUUGAAUAUUGUGUUGGCUAAUGGUGCAUUUCUCUAGGGCCGCCGACAUAUGUUCUCUCUGUCGCUUCAACCCCUGCCCAGGUUAUUCAGCCAAUGCAAACAAACAUGUUGACCGACGGGAAGAAAACCAGACAGCAUGGAGACAGACAGAGAUAGAGACGUGAAAUGUGGCAACUUCUGGUUAUUAUGCCCUUGUUAGUCCGAGAAGAUGAGAAGACUCUCGUUACUUGCAUUAACUGUCUGAACAAGGCUGGAAGGUCAAAUUCCCACACUUAGAGCCUUAGCCUGGUGGCGAUUCCAGGCUAACUUGCUUGCUUCUGGUGGAGGUGCAACUGAUGGACGUAUUAAAUUCUGGAACACCUGCACUGGAGCUUGCUUGAAAUCUGCCAAUACUGGUUCACAACUUUUUAUUUUUCUUGUGGAAGUGGAAUAAAAAAGAGAGAGAACGUCUGAGUUCCCAUGGAUUCAUAGAAAACCAAUUGACCCUGUGGAAGUAUCAGUCAAUGGUUAAGAUUGCUGAUCUCACUGGUCAUACUUCAAGAGUUAUAGUCAUGGUUCAGAGUCCAGAUGGUAGCAUCUACAGCAGGUGUAGGUUAGUAUUUGGGACUCCUGAAUUAGCUAAGCAUGCACCCAAAACCAACACAGAACCAUCUGCACGUUGGAAUUGCUUCUGAUGAAAAUGUAAAAUUUUCCUUUCUUUAA